AAAAGGUGGCUUCGGCUACCACUUACAGAUGGACCCGCGGCGCAUUAGCUAGUUGGUGAGGUAACGGCUCACCAAGGCAACGAUGCGUAGCCGACCUGAGAGGGUGAUCGGCCACACUGGGACUGAGACACGGCCCAGACUCCUACGGGAGGCAGCAGUAGGGAAUCUUCCGCAAUGGACGAAAGUCUGACGGAGCAACGCCGCGUGAGUGAUGAAGGUUUUCGGAUCGUAAAGCUCUGUUGUUAGGGAAGAACAAGUGCCGUUCAAAUAGGGCGGCACCUUGACGGUACCUAACCAGAAAGCCACGGCUAACUACGUGCCAGCAGCCGCGGUAAUACGUAGGUGGCAAGCGUUGUCCGGAAUUAUUGGGCGUAAAGGGCUCGCAGGCGGUUUCUUAAGUCUGAUGUGAAAGCCCCCGGCUCAACCGGGGAGGGUCAUUGGAAACUG
rnacentral:rRNA from 1 species